rnacentral:lncRNA from 1 species
AUCCGGGCCUUGGAAAGGACACUGGUGCCACCCUUCACUGGGGAAAGGUGCAAGGGGCGGGGGAUAUACCAUGCCGAGCCUUCGCUCUGUGCUCUGUGCAGGUGCUUGACCCAGGCCAGCUCUGGAAUCGCCCCAGGCCAGGCCUCCAGGAUCUUUGCCAACGGUCUUGAGGAGCCAGGCACAGGAUUGGACUCUGCCCGGGCAGGAGGAUGAAGACAGUGACUUCCCCACCAAGACUCCCGGCAGAGG